rnacentral:rRNA from 1 species
AGUCGAACGGUGGCAGCAAUGUCAUAGUGGCGCACGGGUGCGUAACACGUAACUAACCUACCUAUAACUGGGGGAUAGCCCGCCGAAAGGCGGAUUAAUACCGCAUAAGCUGCUUAGGUGGCAUCACCUGAAUAGUAAAGAUUUAUUGGUUAUAGAUGGGGUUGCGGGUCAUUAGCUAGUUGGUAAGGUAACGGCUUACCAAGGCGACGAUGACUAGGGGAGCUGAGAGGCUGGUCCCCCACACGGGCACUGAGAUACGGGCCCGACUCCUACGGGAGGCAGCAGUAGGGAAUAUUGGGCAAUGGGCGAGAGCCUGACCCAGCCAUGCCGCGUGCAGGAAGAAGGCUUUCUGAGUCGUAAACUGCUUUUGGCAGGGAAGAAUAAGCACUACGUGUAGUGUGAUGACGGUACCUGCAGAAUAAGCACCGGCUAACUCCGUGCCAGCAGCCGCGGUAAUACGGAGGGUGCGAGCGUUGUCCGGAUUUAUUGGGUUUAAAGGGUGCGUAGGCGGCCUUAUAAGUCCGGGGUGAAAGCCCGCUGCUCAACAGCGGAACUGCCCUGGAUACUGUGAGGCUUGAGUACAGACGAGGUUGGCGGAAUGGACCGAGUAGCGGUGAAAUGCAUAGAUACGGUCCAGAACCCCAAUUGCGAAGGCAGCUGACUAGGCUGUUACUGACGCUGAGGCACGAAAGCGUGGGGAGCGAACAGGAUUAGAUACCCUGGUAGUCCACGCCGUAAACGAUGGAUACUCGCUGCGAGCUAAAGAUUGUUCGUGGCUUAGGGAAACCGAUAAGUAUCCCACCUGGGGAGUACGCCGGCAACGGUGAAACUCAAAGGAAUUGAC